UACGUAGGUAGCAAGCGUUGUCCGGAUUUAUUGGGUUUAAAGGGUGCGUAGGCGGUCCUAUAAGUCAGUGCUGAAAUAUCCCGGCUUAACCGGGAGGGUGGCAUUGAUACUGCAGGACUUGAGUAAAGUUGAGGUUGGCGGAAUUGACGGUGUAGCGGUGAAAUGCUUAGAUAUCGUCAAGAACACCUAUUGCGAAGGCAGCUAACUAAGCUUUAACUGACGCUGAGGCACGAAAGUGUGGGGAUCAAACAGG
rnacentral:rRNA from 1 species